GUGGUUCAAGUCCACUUAGGCCCAUAUUAAUCAUGUGGGGCCUUAGCUCAGCUGGGAGAGCGCCUGCUUUGCACGCAGGAGGUCAUCGGUUCGAUCCCGAUAGGCUCCACCAUUUGAAAUAGCUUUGCGUCUUUGCUUGCGUCUGCAAGUGAAUGCAAAGAAGCUGGAUUCCUCGACGCAAGACAGCAAAGAAGUGAGCACAAGGUAGCAGUCUCGUUCCUUGAAAACUAGAUAACCGGAAGGAAGAASCGAGAGCGCA
rnacentral:tRNA from 1 species